UGAGCAUUCGGACGCCAUAGUUACACGGUUUAAUAAAAUGCAAUACAUUUGCUUCAGUUUUACAUUAAGUUUUCCUUGGAAAACGUCGUGUCAAUGUGCACCUGUUCUGUUAAAUGCUCUCCGCACCUGCAUAGUUCACAAGAAAGAAAGACCGGUAUGGAACAAUGUGACGGAUUUGGACCAUCAGCGGACAUGCCUGGAGGAGGACAGUAGCUGUCUGCGAGCUGAGAUCCGACUUUAGACCUCUCACAUAAGUGAUCCAUCGUGCUCAACACAUGCUAGGCCUGGAUGUUCGCCAUAGUCUCCUGUGUACAACAUGCCCAUGCCAAGAUCCUGCUGCUGUACCUUUAGCCGUGACAAGUCGGCCUCUGCACCAGCUGUGCCCAUGGGGCGUCAUCAGUCGUAACAAGAGUCGGUGUGCCCGCUUCAGCGCAACCCCAUUGUGGUGUUAGAGGAUAAUAACACUCUGCUUCCUUUUGUCAGUGUGUUUUGCUGGAUGAUAAACAGAGGGGAUGAAGGACCGGCAGAGGAGCUCAGGCUCAAAGAGUGGCAUCAGCAGGUGGAGAGACAGACAUGGUGGAACCACAGGCGGAGGGUGAACCAGCUGCAGGGGAAAGCUAUGAAGUCUACGAGGUGGGCAUGCGAUUCUGCAAGGGAUAAGAUUGAAGAAAAAUAAUUCCCAGGAAGCACAGGAAGAGAUGGAGGAGGAAACAUUACAGCAAACCUCUUGCAAGGAGUUCUCAAAGAAUAAAAAUAAACUUUAAGACGAUAAACAGAGAAACCCUGCAGAAAGAAUUGAGAUCGAGACUUUUUUGACCCUUCAUUGACUUCUUUUAGGUGUUUCAAUGAGAACUUGGGAAACACUAAAUUUGGCCUCACAGAAAAAGGUUCAGUCCAAAUCUUUUGAUACCAGUAGGUGCUCCAUGUGAAAGUAAUCUUGAAUGAUGAAUGAAGGCCCAGGCAGAAGUCUGAAUUUUAAGAGCAGAAAUCUCCAGCCCGAAGUCUUGCUAUGUCCAGAAAGUCAUCCGUAUGGAACACCCUGAAGAGGCAAUGGACCAGCUAACAGAAGAGCUCCAAGCAGCCCUGGACAAUCUGAAGAGCCAGACGGGGAAAAUACACCAGUGCGAGGAAAAAAUUGAGAGAUUAAGAGAGAAAAUGGACAGCCACCAAAAAUGGUGCUGGCAGGCUCCGUCUUUCAGAGAGGAGUAUGAGGCAUCAGCAUAUAGCAGCCCUAAAACUGGUGGUCCAGCUGCACAGGAAGAUCCCGGAAGGGCCAAGUUCACACCGAUCAGUCUUAGUACCAUGAUGAUGGCCACAGCACAACCACAUGGACCUAAAACAACUAGAGAGGCGCUUUCAAGCCAAGAGGUUUAAUAUCAUAAAAAAUCAGUGGUGUCAGAGGACUGGGCAGAAUUAUGAAAGCAUUAUGAAAGACCAGACCAGAGCCUCAGGCAGUUCUGCACCACCCAGCUCCAGCUCACAUUUCACAGUUACUCUUGACUGGAAACCCUGUGUGAUUCCAUCCGUCUCAACUUACCGGAACUACCUACAGAGUUACAUCUCACCUUACCGCACCCCUGCCUCCAGCUGAGCCGCCCCUCUUCCUGUAGCCUCCCGACUUCUUUCUUUCUGC
ensembl:lncRNA